UACGGAGGGGGCUAGCGCUGUUCGGAAUUACUGGGCGUAAAGCGCACGUAGGCGGCUUUGUAAGUUAGAGGUGAAAGCCCAGGGCUUAACCCUGGAAUUGCCUUUAAGACUGCAUCGCUAGAAUCGUGGAGAGGUAAGUGGAAUUCCGAGUGUAGAGGUGAAAUUCGUAGAUAUUCGGAAGAACACCAGUGGCGAAGGCGACUUACUGGACACGUAUUGACGCUGAGGUGCGAAAGCGUGGGGAGCAAACAGG
rnacentral:rRNA from 1 species